AAAACGGAGAGUUUGAUCCUGGCUCAGGAUGAACGCUGGCGGUAUGCUUAACACAUGCAAGUCGAACGGGAUGCUUAGGCAUCUAGUGGCGGACGGGUGAGUAACGCGUGAGAAUCUGGCUCCAGGUCGGGGAUAACAGUUGGAAACGACUGCUAAUACCGGAUGUGCCGAGAGGUGAAAGAUUUAUUGCCUGGAGAUGAGCUCGCGUCUGAUUAGCUAGUUGGUGGUGUAAGGGACCACCAAGGCGUCGA
rnacentral:rRNA from 1 species